rnacentral:lncRNA from 1 species
AUUGAGUCCAAUACAUUCAGUGAGUCCAAACUUUGGAGCUGAUCCUAAAGAAAAUAUCCAACGAAAGGAAGAAGCGAUAGGCAUAAUGAUGUUCAUGGCAUUUUUUGUAUGAUAGUGAUAUAUUAGAAAACUCCCUUCAUGCCGAGAAUGUACAUCCACUUUGUAAAGAGUAUUGACUGUGAUCAUUAUGAAAACUAUGUUGCAACUCGGAAGAAUGGUGGACUAUUCUCUUUAUCAAGCUGCCACCAUCCAAAGCACUGUGCCACAUUUGAACACAAAACUAUGCUAUGAUGUAGAAAAUAAAUCACAGAGAUGGUUGCUAGAGUCAGGCCUGUCACCUGCCAAUGGGAGCAUCAUCGCCCUGCGGCCCCUCACUCACCAGUGCUUGAGAAGUGUCUGCACAGUUUCUAGCCCCAGACGUACUUCUUGGCCUCACCUCCC